ensembl:lncRNA
AUGCUUGCCCGUUCUGCUGAGGAUGGCACCACGCCCCAGUUUCCCACUAGGAAGAAGACUGACCCGAGACACUCCUGGACAGUGAUCCUGAUGUCUCUUCUGUGCAGAGCAUUCAACUGUAAGAUAACAUUUGGGCU